UACAGGUGGGCAAGCGUUGUCCGGAAUUAUUGGGCGUAAAGAGCUCGUAGGCGGUCUGUCGCGUCUGCUGUGAAAACUCAGGGCUUAACCCUGAGCUUGCAGUGGGUACGGGCAGACUAGAGUGCGGUAGGGGAGACUGGAAUUCCUGGUGUAGCGGUGAAAUGCGCAGAUAUCAGGAGGAACACCGGUGGGCGAAGGCGGGUCUCUGGGCCGUAACU
rnacentral:rRNA from 1 species